AUGGUGGUCACGUGAUCGCGUGCCGACUAUGGGGAUUGGCAGCCAUUUUACAACCGGGAAGAUUUAGUCUACGUUGGCAUAUAUCAACAUGCCGGAGAGUUGUUGUUGUUUUGGUUAAUUCAAUGUCAGGCGAAAGGGGAGUGGAUUAUCAUUUCAUAAGGUUUUGGCGCAAAAUUCUGACCUUUAGGCUAACUCUUACUGUUUUCAACGGCGCCAGCUUCUUACUUAUAAUAUCUUUAUUGAGCUACAAUUUGUCUUUUAUUUUCUGAGGAGAUUUUCUGACCUGGUGGUUUUGAUUUUUGACUUGGUUUGGUGGAAGUGGUACCAUACAAUACCACACUAGUACUACUACUGUACUGACUGCUGUGUUAGAUUGAUCAUCGUAAUUGGUUUUAAAGACCUUUCCAGUACGCCACGGUAUUCAGUAUAAACUUAGGAAAUUAAAACAGAAGAAAAGUAUAGAAAAUAUUUCCAAUAUUAUCCAUCGUGAGAUCACAGAGAUUGAAUGCUGGUCUUGUGUUUAAUGUAUAAACAAAUUGGUGGAUAUUAUUAACAUUAACCUUUUGGCAAAGGUUAGCUUGAUGAUGUUACUGACUUUGCAGUGUGGUGGAAGAUGUUAACCUAACUAUGGUACGACAACAAGCCUAACCCUGAGGUCAACGAUGUACAAUAUUAUGUCAAUGUCACAGUUCCACUACCUAUAAACAAUACUUACCUACUUUGAUUGAAAUGAUGUCCAUUCCUACAUAAAAUUAGGGUAUAUGCAUUAUUCAUUACACAGGCACUUGAAGGGAUUAAAAUAAAACUUCUUACUACUGCUUAACUAUUUAUUAUAGUAUAUAAGAAGGUGUAUCAGCUCGCAUUGGAAUCUAAUUGAAGUCUGCUUGACAAUUUCUAAUACCCGGUAGAUAUCUUAUAUAGGACUCAGUAUAUCAUGCCUAACAGCGCGUGUUCAUAGCCCUGAACUUGUGUAAUUAAUAAUAUGAUUGGUUAAAUUAAACUCAAUGUCGCAAUCAGAAGAUCCCUAAAUAUUUAACCAUGUUAAUCAUGAAAUGAUCUAGUUUGUGUUUCUCUUGGCAGUGCGCUACUAUGGAAGACCCUGGGGACUUUGUUACACAAUUAUCUCCCACCACGCUGGAUGGGACGAAAAAACGCGGUCCCGUGUACAAAUUGGCAUGCACAUAAAAGAUCCCUUGACAGUUGGAAUUUGAUAUAGCGUAGUUAUUUGUCCACGUAAAAUUUCCCUCAUAGCCAUUUCAUUUCUCUCUUGGCAGUGCACUACUAAUACUAUGGAAGACCCUGGGGAUUUUGUUAGACAAUUAUCUCCCACCACGCCAGACACUUUUUAUAGGUUUCUUUUGUAUGUUUAUCUGCACUGUUGUAUUAAUGAACAGAGAUUAAAAGCCAUUCCAUUAUUGGAGCAGAAACAUG